GUUGGGCAAGGUGGCACAUGCCUGUAAUCCCAGCCACUUGGGAGGCUGAGGCAGAAGGAUUGCAAGUUCAAGGACAGCCUUAGCAAUUUAGCAAGAUCCUGUCUCAA
rnacentral:sRNA from 1 species